ensembl:lncRNA
CCAGCCAUGCUGCUGCAGCCCAGCUGACCGCAGCAGGUCUCCCUCCAGGACUGCAGUUGGGCAGGAAAUAUUUUUCCCAUCCCACAAACAUCUUCCUGUUCUGCAUCAGGAUGAAACAGAGAUCUUUCAGAGCUUCAGUCUUAUUUUGUGAAGAAACAGCCAUUUGCAAUCCUGCUGUGUGGGUCAGUCCUUCCUUUCCCAUAAAUUCUUCAGUCUUUGGCCAAUCUCAAUUAAGUCUGGCUGACAUGGUACCAGCAAUGGUACGUUCCUGCAAGUUUCAGGCAGCCUGGGAGAAAUGAGACACAAAACACGCUUCUGCUAUGGAAAAGCCGUCCUCAGCACACAUCACAUAAAGCUCCAGUCCUUCUGGAAACCGGUUCGUAGCAGACACAGGAGCACUGGUUCUGCCUGGCUUCGCUGCUCCUGGCAGCAUCUGCAAGGCCCUCACGCACCAUGGCAUGAUUGGGACAUGGGAAUUCAAAGCCUGCCUCUGAGAUGUGCUUCCUCAAGCUACAGUUCUUAACAUGUGCUCAAUUUGUACGCCUGCAGCCAGCACAGACACCCAUUCUCUUGCCCUCACCUACUUCCAUACUGGUAAAGAAAAAAGUUAAACCAGUGCCCAUUGGGUUUGCACAGGGCACGGUGUGGGCUGUGGGCAGCAGUCCUCCAGCACCCAACUCACUGCAGCCCUCACCAGCAAAGAACUCACAGAGGCCCUGCUGGUCCCCACUCUCUAACCAGGCCUUCCACCACCUCCUGGCAGAACAGACUUCCUUGCUUCAUUUUCUCCCUUUGCUGGCCACCUUGCAGAUCUCUACCAGGCCUUUGCAGAUGGUGUCUCAAUGCCUAAUCAUGCACACCACCUCCUGCAUUAUCUGGGUCCUGGAGGCCACCUCACAACAAGCAUCCCUGCCAGAAAGGUCAGAGAUAAGAUAAAAGUCCCUUUGUGCUCUGUUUCCCUGCCUGAGUUUCUUAGAAUCUAUCCGCCUUUGAGAGAAGAAAGAAAAUAAACAACUGCAACUAAGUCCCAGCACUGACUCUUAACACCUAGGUGAGAGGAAGAGGUUGCCUAAGGCAUUAGCAGGGCCUUAUCCCUGCACAUGGAAGGCAAAAGACAGCACUGACUGCACUUCUAAAGGUAGCUCUGCAAUCACAAUUGCAGGCCAAGCAGGUAAUCAGCUUGCAGGGAAUAUAAGUGCAGGACAAGAGAAUCCACUCACAGCCCUUAAGAGGUAUAGAUGCAUUGCACUAGUGCACUUUUAACUGCUGCAGGCUGGCAGAAAGUCCGUGAAGUAAAAGGGCAUACAGAUAGGGUGAGAUUGAUUUUGGUGCUAAGAGCUGGUACAAAGCCUGACUUACCUCUAAACUCCACGCUGGGACUGGUGAUGGGCAAAAGGGAUAGGACUCCAAGAACUCAGCAAGCACCCAGGCUAAAGGCACAGAGCAAAUUCCACUCCUCUACCAGCCCUGAGCUUAGGAGGGACAGUGACAGGGGACACAAACUGAUUACUGCAUGUGGGUGAAAAUAACCUGCCUUUAACCAGUGAUGAACUGGAAGGUACUCUGAUGACAGCUGAUGGAGAAGUGAGAUCAUAUGUACUGAAUCACAUCUCCCUAGACUCUUGUAUUUUAAAUGUGCUUAACUUUUUUUUUUUCCAUCACAGCUGCUGCAGCUUAGGCCAACACUGACAGUUUUGGAAAAUCCCAUCAUUGCAGUUUAACGAUGAUGAACUGGUUAAUACCUGUAACGUCCUCUGCCAGCAUAGAUUUGUACAGGCAGCACAAAUACUGCUGCUGCUUCUUGACAAAGAAAACCCAUGGAACACACAUUUAGCUGAUAACCAGAACAAAACAGGUGCCCCUGCCAGUCACACUGCUUGACUGACCUCUUCCUCUCUCACUAGGGGUGGAGAUGAGGAAGAUGAACAUCCAGGAGAACAGCUGUAUUGGUGUGUGUUCAUCACUCCUCAACAGGAGCACACAUCCUCCCUGCAGAGCUGAGGUUCUGCAUGGCCCCCAGCCAGCAGACACCAUGCACAUUGCCUCAGUUUCCCCUUCUACAGCUUGAGGUUGAUGGAAGGAGAUUUCAUAGAACUCAGCAUUUUUGUAAUUGCUGCAUUUUCAUUUUUGUUGCUUUUUCUUAAUUAUUGACUGGGCAUAUAAAUAGCCCAAGGCUACAGCACAGAAAGUCAAAGGCCUAUGUCAUUGAUUUAUGAGACCUCCAUUCAGUUCAGUUUGCCUCCCUCUGUAGUUCCCAUGGGAAAAGCUGCUUUUCAUUUCCUUUCCAAAAAUCUCAUGUAUGGUAUGGCUGGGAUCUGCUAAAACUCUUUUUGCCUUUGCCACAAUUUUCUCCAGCAGCACAGGGUGGAUGUGCUGCCUCUCCCUUCUGCUGCACUGAAUUUGGUGAAGAAGCAAAGGUGCCAUGUUAAUAGGAAACGUGGGUGUUGUGUUUUUACUUAUGAAAGUAGUGACUAGGUUAAAAACCUUGAUGAUCCAAAAUAAUACACAGUGCAGAGGAAGAAAUCAGCACGUGUAAGCACUAAUGGAAAACAUCCUACUGGCACACAGCACCCCUGCUACUGUGUGCAGCUGUUACAUCACCACCUAUAGAAACUGAAAUACCCAGAAACCUUCUGCUCCCAGAAAAGGAGGUGCCAGAGACUGGGAUGAGACCCAGGAGAGCCUACUCAAGCCCAAAAACCUAUGCAAAUUGGCAAAUGCCUGCUUCAAUCUUUUGCUUUAAUAUCAACACGAUAUCUUUUCCUUUAGCUCCCUAUGUUCCCCAGUAAAUCCAUUCCCCAUCCCUCCCUACUAGGCUGUUACAGUGAUGCCAAGUGCCUGCAUGAGUCGUUUCAGGACAGAGAUUAUGAUGCAUCUCUAAGAGAGGAGACUCACAUUCAUCUCAGUGACAGCUAUUACUGCAAACAAUCAACCAGAAACACCAGAAACACUAACUACAUGUCCUGGAAGCUCCUACUUGGGUCAGCAGAUUUACUCAGCUCCCUAUACCGAUUUGAUAACCAUGGCAGCAGCACAUCUUUCAUUUUCGGGUAUACAGAGCAUGAGAUUACAGUUGAUCCUAGUUAGCUAAUAAACUAAACUGUGCAGUAGUACUUCUGAACUUGGUGGGGGUCUAGAAUUAAGAGAUGCUACAAAACAAAGACCAGACUCCUAUCUUUGCAGUUCUAACCAUGCAAACCACAGACACCUCCUGCACUGGUGUGAGUGCUCAGUCU